UAGGAAGCCAUUCUUAGCAUCUAGGUAGCA
rnacentral:piRNA from 1 species